GCGCUCGCCGUGCCAGCACCUUUACUAGAACUGCAACCAGCCGGCGAAGAUUAGCAGGGCCCCUGUGCAAGGACACACAAGCUCAUGAAGCGUUCCAUACGUAU